rfam:Weissella confusa LBAE C39-2, WGS project CAGH01000000 data, contig: WeissC39_1_contig00035
AUUCACCACUGGGGGAGCCAUUUGGCUGAGACGGUAUGACCGGACCCUUUGAACCUGUUGAGUUAAGACUUGCGUAGGGAAGUGAUGGUAGACCGAC